rnacentral:rRNA from 1 species
GUAUAAGAGACAGCAGUCGCCACGGGAAUACGUAGGUGGCAAGCGUUGUCCGGAAUUAUUGGGCGUAAAGCGCGCGCAGGUGGUUUAAUAAGUCUGAUGUGAAAGCCCACGGCUCAACCGUGGAGGGUCAUUGGAAACUGUUAAACUUGAGUGCAGGAGAGAAAAGUGGAAUUCCUAGUGUAGCGGUGAAAUGCGUAGAGAUUAGGAGGAACACCAGUGGCGAAGGCGGCUUUUUGGCCUGUAACUGACGCCGAGGCGCGAAAGUCAGGGGAGCGAACGGGAUUAGAUACCCGGGUAGUCCCUGUCUCUUAUAC